CCAAAGGAAAGGAAGUUGCCUAAUAAUUAUGCACACCUGAUAUAGGGUGUUGAUGUCAUUAGACCACACCCCUUCUCAUUACAGAGAUGCACAUCACCUAAUAUGCUUAAUUGGUAGUAGGCUUUCGAGCCUAUACAGCUUGGAGUAAGACAACAUGCAUAAAGAGGAUGAUGUGGUCAAAAUACUAAUUUGCCUAAUAAUUCUGCACUCCCUGUAUAGGUUAAUAUGGAGACUUGGGACAAUAGGCAGCAAAGGGAAUUUGAAGGUGAUGGCCAGAGAGAAUUAAAAGAUAAUUGUUGCCACUGGGAGUAGUGAGAUCUCAAGCAGCUGAAGGAGCAGGCUAUAAAAGAAAGAAGGAAACUGGGUGGACAGGUUAAUGCUUACUGAAAAUGAAGUUUAUUUUUGUUGUUGGAUGGUUAGGUGGAAGCCUCUGAAGAGGAAUGGAGAAACACAGUUUGGUGAAGGUAUUUACUGCUAGGAGGGGCAAGGAAUGGAGAAAGAAAAGUUGUGGGUGUACAUUCGUUGUAUACAAAAUGUUAUCACCCAAAAUAUUAAUACAUAUAUGUAUAUUAAAUAUUGGUGAAAUACAU